rnacentral:lncRNA from 1 species
GAUUGGAAAUGUGUUCAUUUGAUCUAUUUCACAAAGUAAGAACCAUAGGUAAACAUUGUGUGCAUGCUAGGAGCAUGGGACAAGUGUUGUAAUAAUUCAAGUAAGAAGUUGAUUACCCGAAACAACAAAUAAUGAGUAAUCGAUAUGGUGAUAAAUAAAAGGUGUUUUAUUUAUACUCAAAGGUUUGAGGCCAUAUGGGAUUAGUAUUAUUCUUGUGUUUCACUUUGCAUGUUUUGACUUCCUGAAUAAUUUAAUUGGUUAAGAACAGUCAAAUUAUUCGAACGGGCCACAGUCGUUCAUAUGUUGGAAGUAGGUAUGAAUGAAGACUGUCGUGAAUUGGUGUGUGGAUUGUCUAAAGAGUAUUAGACAUAAGCAAAUGUUUGCUGCAACGUUCAUGAGUGCUUAUGAAUAUGAUUUGAGCAUUGGAUUAAACCCACGCUCACUUGGAUCACUCCAUGAAUUGUAUCACGAGUGAUUGGUGAGACGAUAACAUCUUAUAUUCUUGAAACCGAGAUGUGUGAGUUGUAUCUUGCGAAUCGGUUGCACAUUGAUAAUAUGUAAACGCACCAGUAACUUGGUGUUAUAAAACAUAUUGUUGUGUGUGAUUCGGUGAGUGAGUGCAAGCGAGCAUUGAAUCAAAGUUUAUCCGUUCCUUUUAUCCAAAGUAGGAUAAAAGCGAUAUCUGUGGGCCCCUCGAUGAUUUAGUGAUGGCACCUAAGCGCUUGGCCAAGCCGGGACUAAAUUGAUGUGUUCAAUUGUAGUCUGUUGUCAGUCGUCAUAAAUCUGAAUUCGGGAAAUAGCACAUAGACAGAGAGAAUGAUUUAGAUCCAUGUCUCAGUCUAUACGAUAUCUAGAAUGGAGGAAUAUAUGAUCCCUUAUCUAAAGGACACGCGUAUCUGAUAAGAUCAGAGUUGACAGCGGCUUUGGAAAGCUACGAUUGCAGAUCAGGAUCUGAAGUCAUACGCAGAAUAGUUAUUAGACUUAUCCAAGUGGGAGACUGUUGGAUUAGUGUCUAAGUCCAUAACUAUUUUGGUAUGUACUUGACCCGAUGGUGCAUGGUCCUUUUGGGUUGCCUUCACCAAAGCAACUUGAUAGGAUGAAUUAUGGAGAGAAAGGAUUAAAUAUGAUUUAUUAAUAUGUUAUGAGAAUAAUAUAUUAAAGGAGAAAUCAUAUUGUUUAAUUAAUAUUAGUCAAGAAUUAAUAAGAAUUAAGUUUGUGGCUAAAAGAUAUUAAUUAAACUUAAGGUACUAGAACUGUCAAUUGUGUGAUAGUUGAAUAUUGAGCUAAUGGACUCCAUAUUAAAGGGGUGGACGAAUUCUAUGGGGAAACCCAUUAGAAAUCGUCCAAAGGCCUUUAAGAAAGGGGUUCAUGGGUUGUUUAGGGCCUAAGCAUCCAAAUUAGGGUUUCCUUGUUAGAUAACCCUAAUAGCCUCACUAUUUAAGGAACCCUUAAGCCCCAAAAACGUGGUGAACUAAUUGGUUAGGGUUUCCACACGUUUUGGGCAGCCUCCUUCUCUUGUCCUCUUCAUCCUCUUGCUCUUGGUGUUUGUGAACCAUUAAAGGAGUGACAUUUGUGACUCUAAGCUUUCUAAGGUCAAUACAAGAAGGAUUUGAGAUUGUUAUUGCUACAUAACAAUCAAGGUAUGAUCUAAACUCUAAUUCAUAUGUUAUAUUGAUUAUCAUAUAUUAGAUCUAGGGUUUAUAGUCUUGGAUGAAUUGCAUGUACAAUAGAGAAACCUAGAUCCAAGCAUUAGGGUUUGUAUGAGCACAUAGGAUGUUCUUAUAGCUAAAACCCAUCAUAUGAUUCUAAACGUUUUGGAUCCAAAAUAAAAUGAUGAAAUUUUUCACGAUUUAUAAAUGUAAGAUUCAAAACUUUUUUGAUACAAGAAAACUGAAAGAUCUGGUAUGCUUAAGAAUCAUAUUAAAGUGAUAUUGCUAAUUAACAUAUGAUACUAAUGGGUCACACUAACAACAACUUGAUAUAAUUGAUUAUUUAUUAGAAAUUGAUUUUAAUAAAUAUUCAAUAAACUCAUAUAAUUAAUUGGAAAUUAUUUGUUUCAUAGAAAUAAUAAUUUUCAUUAGCAAGUAACAUUACAUAAUUCAUAUGGUAUGAAUUAAUAAGUCAUGUACAACAUUCUGGACUAGAUAAAUUCUUUUGUCUUUUACCAAAAAGUUAAGGUUUAUAUUUAAUAAACUUGGUUUAUAAAAUAUAAAGCUUUUGUCUUCCUUUUUAUAUCUUAAUUUUGAAAAUUGAAGAGUCAAAAAAGGUGGCAUGACUUUCAUGUUAAUUUAUUCAAAAGUAAUGUCUAACCAUACAAGAAUGGGGGGACAUGGUGGUCUAGUGACAAGAGAAUACUUAAAUGGUUAAGCACUUGUGUGUAAAAGAUCUACUUUAUGAAGGCUUUCAUCUCUUACUCUUAUUAGUGCACAAAACCGUAAGUAGCAUGCAUGUGUGCAUGCUCUCACUUUUGAUCAUCUCUUGAAGAACACUUGCUUAUUUUUGCUCUCUAUGGUUCAUAUUUUGAUAUGAACUAAAGCUUAAGAGUUAUAUAAGAGUUUUAUACAAAGGAACUACCAUUCUACAUCAAGUUGAGUCAUUGUUGGUGUCUCUAAAGUUCAUCAUUCCCCAUCAACUUCCAAGUCUCCCAAUAGGAUCCAAAGAACUACAAAGGUUGUGAUUUCUCCAUCUUUUUCUUUGGUUGGUGUUUAAUCUUUCUACAAAUUGCAAGAUGAUCAUUAGUGGGUUUAACUUAUUUAUUUUAUUCAAAAUUUAUAAGUCUUUCGUUGCCUAAAAAUCAUAUUUUUGAAACUAGUUUUUGAAUAAAAAUGCAACAAAAACAUGAUCCAAUUUUUUUUAUUCAAAAUUUUAAUGAUGCAAAAAUAUUAUACAUCAAAAACUUUUAUGAUCCAUUUUAUAGUAAAAACUAAAAAAGUAACUAUGAGACUUAACUAAAUUCUAAAGAAAAAAAAAACAUCUAACAAAACAAUAUAUAUUAACACAUAAUCAAGAAAACCCAUUGUAAACAAAAAAAAGUAAAAAAUUUCAUAUCUAUAACAAAAUUAUUAAAAACUAAAAAUGUGUCUAAACCAAGUUCCUAACAAAUAAACAAACAUAUUCAAGUAAUAUUCUUUAAGAACCACAUCACACCACACAUAACAUACAACUAACAUCAAAACCAUACUUAUCUAAGUAACAUUGUUUUAACAUCACACACCAACAACAAGAAACUUAAAAUAACCAAAAACUCUUCAACAAGAUACUAACCAUCAAUCACAUCACUCCAAUAUGUUGAACCCUAACUUUAACGUAUGCCGAUGGACUUCAAUGUAAAUCUUUUUCUUCUUGUACUCAACUAAUGAAAUUCAUGUAGAGUUUUCAAAAACUAGGUUUGCACAAAUUAAACCUAGACAAUAAUAUCUUACCAACAUUCAUCUUCCUUGACUCAUGCAACUGUGGGUUUUUUCAUCUGACUCGGUUUCUAAAUCACCGUCAAGAUUAUUAAACUUCCAUAUUACUCGUUAGAAAACAAAAACCAUAGUUAAUAAUCUUUUUUUUUUGUCUGCCAAUCCAAGUCAAAUCAUUUCAGAUGCAUUAAUUAACUAGCAUUCCUAUAACAUCUUCACAUAACUAAAUCUUCCAAUUCAGUAGUAACCAUUUUAGGAGUCCAAUAAAAAGUUGUAAGAUUUCACCUGUCAAUUAACGAACACAAUUGCAUAUGAGGAUGAAUCAAUAACUUAUAUAUACCAAUCAAUAAUAAACAUUAAUGAAUGAAACUAAACUAGGGUUAACAUGUUCAUAUAAUAUAGUAACUUAUACAUAUGAUCGAAUAAACAACACAUAUAAAUGAAAGUAAACUAAGAUUAACAAUUACAUAUAAGUCACAAUUACUAACUUAUACAUAUAAUCCAAUAAUCAACAUAUAAAAAGAGAACCAACGUUAACAAAGACAAACUUAAACAUUUAAAAUAAAAAAAAAAUGGAAACUUAGAUAUAAAUGAAGGUAAACUAAGGUUUAUCAAAAGGACCAUGAGUUCAUGAAGUAAAUAUAAUCAAGUCUACAACUAAAAUCAACUAACAACAAAAGAUAUGACAUAAAACUAAUAAAUACAAAAGAUAAAUCUUGAUAUACUAUCAAUAUUUAGCACUCAUUAAACCUAAAAUAACAUUUUUUUUACCAUAACAUAAAUUUAUGAUACAAACUCAAUGUAAAUUUUGACACCUACCAGUUGGUAUUUCACAUUUUAAAUAUAACUGUCAGUUUUUCCAACAAGUUGUUAUCAAGAAAAAACAUCAAACAAUGUCGUAAACAACUAUAAUAGUACUUCACACAUAUAUAAACAAAUAAAAAUAACACAAAAUCACUAAGAAUUCAAAUUUCCCCUUAUGUGCUUUCUUUCAGACAUUAGAUCGAGCACUUUGUAAGCAUCAUUGAAUUCAAUUUCAGGUUGAUUGUUUUAUCUGAUGUUUCAUCCAAAAAUCUUUUCAAAAUAAAAAUCUAUAAUGAAUCAAUCACAGUAUUAAAAAACAAACAAACAUCGAAAAUAACUUUCUGAAAUUAGGGUUUCAACAAACACCGAUGAAGACUAACAUAAAACAAAAAUAUUUAAACAUAGAUGUAAGAAAAAGAAUUUUACCUGAUUCCAUUGGAUUUAAAUGUGGAUAAAUAAUGUCAAACAACGUGAAUCCUAUCUAAUAAAUGAAUGUUUUUUUGCCACAUGUCACUUUGUCAUGAAUGAUAACACUUGACAUUUUAUGGUGUUUUUGAAUUUAAUAAAAUCCACAUAUCAUUUUCUUGUAUAUAUCAUUUUUAUUUAAAAAUGUCACCUAAUUAUGUAUUUAUGAGGAUUAAAGAAUACACUAUCCUUUCAAAUUUUAAUUCCUACAUUUAAGGCCAUUUAAAUCAAUUUUCCGUUUAUUUUUCUUAUUCGAUAUUAUUAGCCUAAAACUAUGAUAUUAUUUGAUAAAGGCACUCAAAUUCACAUAUAUUCUAUUUUUUUUAAAAUUUCCAGUGCAUCUAUAUAUGUUAUACGGAUUUAAAAUUAUGCUACUAAGAUGCUUUUUUUAUAUUUUUCUUAGAUUUUUUGUUCUUUGUUUUCUUAUUUUCCAAAUAAAAUUUAUUUAAACAUCUUUUUUAGAACAAUAAAAUAAUAGAAGUUAUUAGCCAACUAAAUUAUUUCAUUAUAAAUAUUUUAAAUAAAGCACCCGUAUUACUAUCUAUGAGUAUAGUUUUUUUAUAUUAAAAUUUCUAUUUUAUAGUACAACAUGAUGAUUGUAUCAUUAAUCUUGAGUUAAAACACACCGUUGAUGUUUUGAUAUUUAACUUUUAUUUUAAUCAAGCCGUGUUGAGCGUCGUGCGGUUUGGUGCGGUUAUUAACUAAAAUCUCACAACUAAAAGCAAACGUGGUUAAUCCAUUUUUAAAACCGCUUGGUGCGGUUAUUUUUGCGGUGCGGUUAUGUGGUUAUUUUUGCGGUGCGGUUUUGUUUUUUGUUUUUUUUUUGCGGUUAUUAACCGUAUGGAUUUGGUGCGGUUAUUUUGUGUGCUUUUUAACCAUAGUUUAGAGCUCAAAUGGUUUUAAGAGUUCAAACAUAUUAUUUAUAAUAAUAAAAACCAUAAGGUAUAAGACAAUUAACUUAAAUAUCUAAAAAUUGUCUAAUUUCACCAUUUUUCAAAGUUAAACAUAACAAAAAAUCAACACUUUUGUCUUCUAGUAUUUUAUCCAUUUUUCAUCCAUGAAACUUGUCUUAUUUUUAAUAUUUAAUAUAUUAAUAAUUAAUAAAAUAAAAUGUAUAUAAUAUAUGCGGUGUGGUGCGGUUUUUGAAAAUUAAUAACUGCACCACACAGCAAAUUUGUGGUUUUUAAAAAACAGAAAACCUCACCAUCAGUUUUUAUUGCGGUUGCGGUUUUUGUGGUUAAUUUUAGUUGCGGUGCGGUUUUGCUCACCUCUACCGUGUAGUAUACGGGUCUUACACCUAGUGUAAGAUGAAAGUAGAGGAUUCUAACCGAAAUCUGAACGAUGGACUGCGAUUUUUACUUGAAACCCUAGUUUACAACAAGAACAUACAAAACUGCACAACUGGAAAGAGAAUUUACAAAAUGAUGGAAGGCUUUGAGAGAAAAUAGAGACGAUGGAGGAAGAACCAAUGUUAGAUGCUAACUCUGUGUGAUGUUCAUACGCUCAACUAGGGAUGUGCAUUAGAACUACUGGAAUCGGAACCGAUCUUGUUCCACAAAAAACCGGUUAAAAAACAGGAACUGGUUUUUAAAAUUCUGUAACUCACUCAUAUAAAGUCGGAAUUACUUGAUUUUUUUUCCAGAAUGUAAUUCAGUGUUUUUACUUCAUUUUAGACUAAAAAAAAAAAAAAAAAAAAAAAAAAAAAAAAAAAAAAAAAANAACCACAUAUUUAGGUUAAAUAUUGAAUCAUAUACAACUCAGAGAAGAUAAUGAUGCGUUUUUUCUUUAUGUUUCAACAUGUUUUUCUUUUGUCCCGAUUUUUAAAAUACCGUAGCUCACUAAUAUGAAGAUGUAAUUACUUGAUUUUUUUUUCAAUAUGUAAUUUUGUGUUUGUACUUCAUUUUAGACACUAACAAAUCAUAUUUUGGUUAAAUAAUGAAUCAUAUACAAACCUCAGAAGACAACAUUUCGAUGUUGCGUUUUUUCUGUUUUAGCACGUUUUAGUUAAAAAUGUGUUUGGAAGAUGGAAAAGUUCUUUUCAAAAUAACUUUUUAUGAAGAAGGAAAUAGUGAGUUUUCAAAAGUCAUGAAAGUGUGACUUUUUGCAACUUUAAAACUUUUAAAGCUAAAUCACACUCAAAAGUCAAAAAAAAAUACUACCCGAACACUUUUUAAAAACAACUUUUGGCUUUUGCUUCUUCAAAUGAACUUUUACAAAAAGAACUUUUGGGCUUAAAAAGUAAUCCCAAACUGGGAAUUAAUUGUUUUUCAGAAUGCUACUAAACUAUAUGUAUGUAUUAUGAAUUGCAUCAUCAUUAGUUUCACCUUAUUUAUAACCGGUUCUUGUUUGGAAAAAUAAUCAAAAAAUCGAAACCAACGGUCCAGUUCCCUUCGCAAUACUGCUUCCGAUUCCGAACCGGUUCGAUCUUAUUCGGUUCCAAAACUCAUCCCUACGCUCAACGAUUCAGAUAGCCAAAUUGAUCAUAACACCCACAAAUAUAUUGUCCGUGCUGGAAAAACUACAAAAAGUUUCCUUUAUUCACAAUUUUGCCCCCGCGAAUUUAGAAAAGAUAAUCAGAAAUUUUGAAUUAAUGUCAACCAUUUGAUUAAUAAAACGAAUAUAUAUAUAUAUAUAUAUAUAUAUAUAUAUAUAUAUAUAUAUAUNNNNNNNNNNNNNNNNNNNNNNNNNNNNNNNNNNNNNNNNNNNNNNNNNNNNNNNNNNNNNNNNNNNNNNNNNNNNNNNNNNNNNNNNNNNNNNNNNNNNNNNNNNNNNNNNNNNNNNNNNNNNNNNNNNNNNNNNNNNNNNNNNNNNNNNNNNNNNNNNNNNNNNNNNNNNNNNNNNNNNNNNNNNNNNNNNNNNNNNNNNNNNNNNNNNNNNNNNNNNNNNNNNNNNNNNNNNNNNNNNNNNNNNNNNNNNNNNNNNNNNNNNNNNNNNNNNNNNNNNNNNNNNNNNNNNNNNNNNNNNNNNNNNNNNNNNNNNNNNNNNNNNNNNNNNNNNNNNNNNNNNNNNNNNNNNNNNNNNNNNNNNNNNNNNNNNNNNNNNNNNNNNNNNNNNNNNNNNNNNNNNNNNNNNNNNNNNNNNNNNNNNNNNNNNNNNNNNNNNNNNNNNNNNNNNNNNNNNNNNNNNNNNNNNNGAGAGUUAACCGGUUUUAAGAUCAAGGGUUGGGGGUUGGGGCUAUAACUAUCAUAUAUCUAAAUAUUUGGGCUUUACUGACUUAAUAUGAUAAUAUGAAUAUCUUUGGGCUAAUUUAAGGAGUUUGGCCUUUGGGGUAUAAGUCGUUCUUUUAUUUUUUCGAUAAACUUUCAUUCAAGUUCUGUAAUCCGUCAAACCAGACCAUUACGUAAGUAAGUCUUACGAAGUGUUUGGGGUUGGGGCUAUAACUAUCAUAUAUCUAAAUAUUUGGGCUUUACUGACUUAAUAUGAUAAUAUGAAUAUCUUUGGGCUAAUUUAAGGAGUUUGGCCUUUGGGGUAUAAGUCGUUCUUUUAUUUUUUCGAUAAACUUUCAUUCAAGUUCUGUAAUCCGUCAAACCAGACCAUUACGUAAGUAAGUCUUACGAAGUGUUUGUGAUUGUUUUUUAUAUUUCAAAAAUGUUUUUUGGGGCAAAACUUUUAUUGAUUUAUAGUAUUGGUAAAAUGAGUUUUUAAAAAUAUGUUUGAAUUAAUUUUUAUGAUUGAAAAUACCAUUAAAUCAUUAAGUUAAAAAAUGUUUUGCAAGAAAUCUCUUUAAAAUCUUAUAUUUGAAACUAUUGUAAUUAAAAUGGCAAAAAAGUCAAGUUAGAGAUGUUUUUGGAAAUCUCAUUUUUAAAGUGUAUUGAAAAACUAUUUUGAAAAGUGAUUUUUAGAUUUUUAAACACUUUUUUUGAUUUAUUGGCUUUUCAAAAAACCAAUAAGUCAAUAAGUUGUUGCAAAAAUCAAUCUCAAAGACUCCCUUAUAUUUAUAGCAAAAAGUAGAGGCUAAUCAAAAUUAAGAAAAAAAACAUUGGUUCAAGAGACAAUUAUUGAGGUGGAAACAUAAAACGUUUUCUUGUGGUGGACGUCAUUCUCUUUUUAAGUCGGUUUUAGGAAGUUUGGGAAUAUAUUAUAUAUGUACUUUUAAAUUUUUUGUGACUAUGUGUUGACAACUUGAGAAUUUGCGGGCUCGAGAAUUUGUGGUGGACGUAUUUCUCUUUUUAAGUCGGUUUAAGGAAGUUUGAGAAUAUACUAUAUAUGUACUUUUAAAUUUUUUGUGACUGUGUGUUGACAACUUGAAAAUUUGUGGGCUCGAUUAUUUUGGGGGGCGGAUGAGUCGGAGAAAGAAUACGUUAGGUAAAAUGGUAUGUGAUGUUUAAUUCCAAAGACAAAUGGGGCUUGGUGGGUAGUCUUUCUGCUUGUAAUAAAGUGUUGUUGUAUAGGUGUCGUUGAAGGUUUUUUUUUCUAACCGGUCGGCAUUGUGGGUUAAGGUGGUAAAAACUUCUCAUGGUGCACAUGUGGGCCUUUUCCCGUCUAUUCAAAGGGUUCGAGGUAAUGGGGUGUGGUGUUUGAUUGUAGGAACCAUUAACCAACUUCAUGAUUUGAGGCUCCUUGACGAGUUGUUUAUGAAAUGGAUUGUUGGUAAUGAUCAGAAUACUUGUUUUUGGACUCAUUUGGGGUGCGGUCCAAUUCCUUUCAGAAUUCUAUUUCAUAGAUUAUAAGUUUGUGUUUGAAUAAAAAGGCUAUUAUUGGUAAUUUUGGAUCAACGAGGGUUGGGCUUGUAAAUAGCGUCAGCAACCUAGAGGAGGGGCUGAGGAUGAGCAAUUUGAGGCUCUUUCUUCUAUUUCGAAGGAUAUGAGAUGCUCUAAAUAAUGGCGAUAUUUGGUCUUGGGAUUUAGACCAAAAAUGUGUUUUUUCUGUCAUUUCUCUUAGGUUUUAUGUUAACUUUAUUUUACUGCCAUUGAUGGUUAUUCAUACCAAAUGGAACCGUUUUCUGCCUAUAAAGAUAAAUAUCUUGAUAUUGUAGAUUGGUCUUCUUCGAUUACCGGUCGUAAGUAACUUGGAAAGAAAAUUAUUUGGAUUCGGCACGAUGCUCUUGAUGUGAUUAGGUAGUGGAGACUUGCAAACCAUCUCUUUUUUCUUGUGAUAUCACAACUCAAGUUUUGUGUGAAACUAUGGAUUUGGCUUGAUAUUUUGUAUGUUACUUUAGGUGUUUCUUUGGGUUGACUAUUUUUGUUAUGGCUAUUAAGCAAAACAUUUUACUCUCUAUUUGCAUGAUGACGACUUGGGUUGUUUGGUCUUACAAGAAUGCGAAGAUUUUUCAGUCGCCUAAUUACAAGAAGGACACAAUUAUUCAUACUAUUAUGUUAUACUAGGCGAAAAAUCGCGCAAGCAUAGAACUAUGAUGAUUAAAAUUAUGACAAAUAUUUUGCGUUGAUUACAAUAAUACAAUUACAUUAUUGAUACAUAUAUGAUAUUUAGAGUUAAUAGUUUUUUUAUAUUAAACAUUUCAUCAAGUUGUUUCUUUCUAAUAUCUAGUUAUUAUUUAUACGUAACUAAUGUUAUCCAUCACUUCUUAGCAAAUAUUUUGAUUAUUUUGGAUGCUAUUUUUUGUUGAUAAAUUAUAAAAGAACAACAAAAAACAAGUUUCAAGUGGAAACUAGAAAAUUAAGAAACAAUAUUAAAAUGACAAACAAAAUAAAUAAAUUUUAAUAAUAGAAACGAAAACAAAUGAUAAGCUUCAAUUAGAAAUCAGAGAAUUAAAAAAACCAUAUUAAAAUGACAAACAAAAACAUAAACUCGAAUAAUAGAAAACAAUAUAUAAAAAAUAAAAGAAGUUUAACAAACAAAAAAUAUAAUAAUAAUCUAUUGACAAAAUUGCAAAAAUGGUCCCUGUGGUAUGCAUUUUUUUGGGGGUUUUAGUCUAAACCCCGAUUUUUUUGGAUUGGUGGUCAUUUUGGACUAGUUUAUAUGUAAACAUGGUCCCUGUGAAAAUCGAAAUGACUAAAUUUCCCUCUUGAUAUAUUUUUUUAUAUUUUUUCAAUUUAAUUUAAUGUUUUAUUAAUAAUAAAAUGGGUCUCUCUCUCUCUCUCUCUAUAUAUAUAUAUAUAUAUACAUAUGGAGUAAACAACAAUUUUGUCUAACUUAUGAAAAUUUUAUUUCUUCUUCUUAUACCCAAUCACCACCUCCAUUGUUGUUGUGACCACCGGACACCACCUUCCAGUCGUGACCCACCACCACUGAUACCCACCUUAUACCUCUCUCUCUCUCUCUCUCUCUCUCUCUCUCUCGAUUAAAAAUCACCACCGAACACAACCCUCAUUCCUCCCUGCCUUCCCUUUCAUCGAGCUCACUAGAAAAACGCGAAAACGAAGCAGCAGAAGCCGCCGGAGCAGCCCCUGCCACCAUCGUCGCCGCUGCUGUGAACCACCGUCGUCGUCAGCUGUUGCUUCCGUCGGUCAUCUCUGACCAGCCCCGUCACCUCUUGCGACCCAUGUAUGUCUGAUUUUCCCCAUCAUUAUUUUCGUUUUACUUUUUGAUCGAUCAACAGUCUUGGAUGAGGAAGAGUUGGUCUCUGAUUUCGAUUAUACCUUCUCUGAUGUCGUCUACUGGUGUUAUUGUUGUUAGUCUACUUUGUGAGGACUCCAUUUUACCUUCGUUAUCUGUGCAUAACCAAGAUCUGAUUUUGCCUGCGAAUUCAAAGCUAUAAGGGGUUUGCUGUUAAGAACCAGAAGUGGGUUUGUGGAGUUAAAGUAUUAUCCAUGAGUAGUACCCAGUUAAAAAUAUUGGAUUUAUCUAAUCAAUUUGAUUGAGGCCUUCAUCAUUUUUGUUUUAUGAACAUAAUUAAAGUUUUGGGGCUGCAAUCAUGUUCUUUGGUUGGAGAAGAUGAACUAGGAAAUGGUUUCGUACAAGCAGGAGAGAGAGAGAGAGAGAGAGAGAGAGAGAGAGAGAGGUCCUUUAUUAUUUUUUAAUUGUUAAAAUAAUUAAAUAAAUAAUAUUAGAUUUUAAAAUAAUGAAAGAAAAUGAAAAAUAAAUAUCCCAAAGGUAUUAUAGUCAUUUCACUUUUCACAGGGACCAUUUUUACAUACAAACUGGUCCAAAAGGACCACCAAUCCAAAAAAGUCGGGGUUGUACUAAAACCCCAAAAAAAUACAUACCAAAGGGACCAUUUUGAAGUUUUGUCUAAUCUAUUUGAUCAAAUGUCUAUCAAACUAAAGUCAUGUCAUAAUAUCAAACUUUAUCAUAUUAUUUAGGGAAAAUGACUUGUAAGGGUAACAAAGUAUUAGACUUGUACAAAAAAUACCAUUGAAUUUUUUUUUUGUACGCAUAUCACCAAUCAACUAUAGUUUUUGUACACAUAUGACCAUUAAACUUCACAUUUGUUCAAAAAAUAUCAUUAUAUUACCGAUAAUAAUAGGUCAUUAGCCACGUAGCAUGUCACGUGGUUGUUGGCGUGGAUUUUUACUAUUUAUUAUAUACACAUUAUACCAUUAAACUAUUUUUUGUACAUAUUAUACCAUUAAACUUUUUUUGUACACAUUUUACCAUUAAACUUUUUUUUGUACAUAUUUUACCAUUAAUGUUAUAUAAUUUAUUGAAAAAAAUAUCAUUUCAAAAAAUACAUAUCGUUACAUAAAAGUAGGUUUCUCAUCACCUGAUGUGGAUUUUACUGAUUUUCUAAUUUUUAGUAAACUUAUCAUUAUAAGUCAUUUUCCUAUCGGUAAACAACGACAUAAUUUCAAUGCACUUUUUUAAUCAUCAACCAUAAUUAAGAAGAGGGUGGAUUAUGAUAAAGUAACAUGUAUAAAAUGUUUCAUGAGUUUAUAAGUGUGCCUCAAACAUAGUUUCCUAAGAAAACGACUUAUAAGAAUAUGUUUACUAGACAUUAACUAAAAUAAUGAACAAUUGAGUAUUUCUUCGCUGCUCCAGAUAAAAGUCUCAAGUUCAAAUCUUGUGGGUUUCAAUUGAUGUAUGACCAACAUAAAUUCACAAUGUAGUUGUAAAAGAAAGUCUUUAGUAUCAUUGUAAAAAACAAACCGUUUCCCCCAAACCUUACAAAAUCAGGGAGUCACAAUAGGUGAUGGAAAACCCAUUUUAUGUAAAAAUAUGUAUUUUUUGAAAUGAUAUUUUUUGAAUAAAUUAUAUAAGAUUAAUGGUAAAAUGUGUACAAAAAGUUUAAUGGUAAAAUAUACACAAAAAAAAGUUUAAUGGUAUAAUGUGUACAAAAAAUAGUUUAAUGGUAUAAUAUGUACAUAAUAUACAAUAAAAUUCACGUCAGCAGCCACAUGGCAUGCCACAUGGCAUGUUACAUGGCUGGUGACCUACUAUUACCGGUAACAUAAUGGUAUUUUUUUUUGAACAAAUGUGAAGUUUAAUGGUCAUAUGUGUACAAAAGUUAUAGUUGAUUGGUGAUAUGUAUACAAAAAAGAAAUUCAAUGGUAUUUUUUGUAUAAGUCUAAUACUUCGUUACCCUUACAAGUCAUCCCUAUUAUUUAUGACUUGUAGUUACAUUACAUUACAUAGGGCCGACAAUUCUUGACACGACACGCGACACGACCCGCGACACGACACGAAAUAAAUAGGUUCGGGUUGAGUUUUUCAACACGUCAACCCGCCAACCCGCCAACCUGCCAACACGUUUAUUAAACGGGUCAUAUAUGGGUUUCUCAAAAAAUAAAUAGGUUGACCCGCCAACCCGUUUAUAUUUUUUAUUAAAAAAAUAUAUUUUUUAUUUUUAAAUGUAUUUAUAUUUUGACUUGUGGUCCUAACUCAUAAGGUCGUAAGUAAGUUUGUAACCAAUUGAUUUUCCUCAUUUUUUCCCUAAAUCAAAUGGCGUAUCGGCGUAUGGCUGUAUGAGCGAUUGAGGCAUUGAACAUGUUUCUAUGAAUGUUUUUAAUUUUCAUUUGGAUGUUUAAGACUUUAAGACUUAGGUAGUUAAGUGUCUAAAAUUUAGAUAUGUUUGUAUCACCCAUCAAGAAUUUAUUCAUGUUUAAUUGUUAAAUUUAUUUAUGGAAUCUGACGCACGAACCCAAAUCUAACCCACAAACCCGCCAACCUGUGAAACCGUAUAAAUAAAUGGGUUCGUGGGUCAUAUAUGGGUUUAUGUUCCAAACCCGCCAACCCGUGACCUGUAUAUUUAAAUGGGUCGUGUUUGGGUUGACAUAUUUUGACCCGCCAACCCGCCAACCCGCGACACGCUAACCUGAACACGACACAAUUGCCAGGCCUACUUUCCGCCCUACGGCUCAAUGCAUCGGCUACUACAUUCGCCUUGCCCAGGUGGUACAGGAUCUCACAAUCAUAAUCCUUCACCACAUCCAACCAUCUCCUCUGUCGCAUAUUCAAAUUUAGCUGAUCCAUCAAGUACUUCAGACUCUUGUGGUCCGUGUAUAUGGUACACCGAACCCCNNNNNNNNNNNNNNNNNNNNNNNNNNNNNNNNNNNNNNNNNNNNNNNNNNNNNNNNNNNNNNNNNNNNNNNNNNNNNNNNNNNNNNNNNNNNNNNNNNNNNNNNNNNNNNNNNNNNNNNNNNNNNNNNNNNNNNNNNNNNNNNNNNNNNNNNNNNNNNNNNNNNNNNNNNNNNNNNNNNNNNNNNNNNNNNNNNNNNNNNNNNNNNNNNNNNNNNNNNNNNNNNNNNNNNNNNNNNNNNNNNNNNNNNNNNNNNNNNNNNNNNNNNNNNNNNNNNNNNNNNNNNNNNNNNNNNNNNNNNNNNNNNNNNNNNNNNNNNNNNNNNNNNNNNNNNNNNNNNNNNNNNNNNNNNNNNNNNNNNNNNNNNNNNNNNNNNNNNNNNNNNNNNNNNNNNNNNNNNNNNNNNNNNNNNNNNNNNNNNNNNNNNNNNNNNNNNNNNNNNNNNNNNNNNNNNNNNCAUAAUAAAUAAAUAAAAUUAGGCAUCUAGGAAUUGGAUUGCCUGGUUGAAAAAUCCAAUGGAUCCUUAAUCUCUAUUUUUUGUUCUUUGUUAGCAUAUAACUAGCAUAUUUUUUUUAAUAAAAUCAUGCCUUUCAAAAAAAGGAUACAACAUCACAUAUUCAUAAUACAAAACACACAAUAGCAGUAUACUCUAGCCAUAUUAUAAUUUUAGACAGUCUUUUAAAUACAAAUAGCAAAACAUUUUAUAUUCAUCAAUUUUUACUAAGGUAGGGCCAUCAUAUAAUAAGUGUCAAUUUUUAAUUUUAUUAGUUUGUGCGUGAAGUUAGAGUACAAUACAACUAUCAAAUGAACAAAGUUAAUAUUUUUCCUAAAAUGAUGAACCGUAAGUUUCUUUAUAAAAAAAUAAAAAAAAUAAAAAGAUAAAAAAAGUAUGUUGCUAUUACACUGUGUAAAAAAGAGCUUAGAAUAUAUUACUAUAUGAAUACAUUUGAUCCUAAAACGUGGAAGUUAAUGUGCAUUAUAAAAUUUUGUUUGCUAUUAAAAUGGAAACUAUAAAAUCUCGGUAAUAAACAUGUAUUAUCACCAAAAUUUACAACAGUCAAGAUAAGAUAACAAUGUGUAUGCAAGCAAGCAUACCAAAACAUACCAAUAAUAGGGACAAGGAUUAUAACGUUUCAAAAAAAUCUGUAGAAAUAAUAAGGAAAAUACAAAAAUAGAUAAAGUUUUCUUUUUACAAGCAUUUAACGACAUCCUUAAGGCGAAGUUAAACCAAACUUUCAAGUUGCAAAAGAAAAAAUGAAGGUAAAUGCCAAAAUGGAAGUAACAUAUAUUACAACAUCUUAAAUAUUACUAAAAGAGAAACUUUAUUACAUCAUCUUAAAUAAUCUGGACCAUUGAUUGUAUUUCAAUCUUAUUGUUUCACCCUUAGAUCAAAUUGCUGACAUCAUCUUCCCCAUAUGGAAUGUAUUUAAUUCCAAUAAAUGUUUUUCAAUCAUCAAUUAAUAACUUACAUUCUUUGAAAUGAAAUGUAUUUAAUUCCAAUAAAAGUUUUCCAUAUUUUACAUCUUGAAUUUUUUGUUAUGAAAAUUUUAAUAUGUCAAUUUAAAAACAUAUUACUAACAAAUCAUUUCAAUCAAGACCUUAAUAUCAACCAUUAAUAUAAAUCCAUUUAUAUUAGUAAACCAUUAAUAUAAAAUCUUUUUUUAUUAGGAAAUCAUUAAUACCUAAAAAUCAUAUUCAAAUUAUCACAUACAUAUACGAUUCAUCAUUGAAUCCGCGACUUACAUUUAUUUUCAAUCGUUUCUUUUCAUCAAAUCUUCUCCUAAAACAUCGUUAAUAUUGCUUAUAACUUCCAUCAUCAUUCUCUACUAUAAACAUUCGCUAUUGUGCGUUAGAAGGUCAGUACCUUCUUUCGCUUUUAUAUUUUUUUCGAUUAUUUUUUGUUCCCAUAUCAAAUGUAUGUAUUCAUAUAUUUCGAUUUUCUUUGUCACAAAUUACAUGAAAUUAGUUAACUACUUUUUCUGAAACUUUUCAAAUAAACAUGAAAAGAUAUUAGGUACCUUUAACAAAACAAAAAUUAACUAUAUUGGGAACUGACAUUAAUUACGAAAAUGUUACUUUUAUAUAUUAGAGAUAAUUAUGAUUUUUUUUUUAAUUUUUAUGUCAUAAGAAUCCGGUUAAUUUUGGCAUGAUUAUAAAAUAUCAUUGAAAUUAUUAUGUUUUUGUAUAUCAUAUCAACCUACUUUUUUUAUCUUUAUAUAAUAACAAUAAAAUUUAUUAAUUUACACAACAAAUAUAGAUAUUUCAAAUUUUGUAAUAUUAUUAUACCUUACAAAAUACAACUCCCUCCAAAAUAAAUUUUCGCCAGUAAUUUCAUCCAUAAUUUCAACAAAUUUAAAUUUGUAUUUUCUUUAUAUAAUUUUUUUUAAUUAUCCUGAUUUUUUUUCUCCAAAAGUAUAUCAAACAUUUACGUCUUAGAUAAUGCUGCCCUAUUAUAAUUAUUAUUUUCCAAAAAUAUAUCCGUUUAAUGAGGAAUUUGAUAUAAUAAAGGAAGUGAAUGUUAAUUAAAAUGAGAUAUAUAUUCCAUAAUUAUUACAUGAGUUUAUUAAAAAAAAUUAAUAUCAAUGUGUAAACAUUAAGCAUUUUUAAAGUGAAAUUUUAGAAUACAUACAAACGAUGAUGUUGUACAAUGAAAUAUAAAAUUGAAUAAACUGAAAAAAAAAACAUUAUUAAAGCAGUCAAUCUUGAAAAUAACAUAGUUAUGAAAAAUUAUAAAGUAAGAUAAAAAUUAUAAGAGAUUAGGAGAUUUGUUAAAAGUAUAUUUAGUAAAAGCGUUACGGUUAUUAAAAAAAAAUAAAACCGUUAAGAUUAGUGAAAAUACAAUAUAUAAACUAAAUUAUCACAAUAGUAAUGAAAUGUCAUUAUUUGAUAUUUCAUAUAAUUGAAAGAUAUAUCAAAUUACAUUGAUGAUAUACUAAAAUUAUUCAAAAUGCUUAUAAAUAUAUAAAUAUAAUAACUAUAUAAGAUGAGGAAAGUCGUUCAACUAAUAAAACAAAAAAUGAUGUCUACAAAGAGAUCUUUUAAUGAUUAUAUAUAUUUAUCGUUUUCAAUGUAUUUUCUACACAUUUCAAUAAUACCAAUAACCAUAUAUUUGUUUAUAAUCAUUAUACAAUAUCUAUAAACGAUUAUAUGUUUUUUUAUGCGUUUCCCGCGUUUAACGCGGGCUAUAAUCUAGUUUUAGUUAUUAGACAAAACUAUAAAAAUGGCUCAUAUGGUUUACAAAAUGUCACAAUGUCAGUCUUGUUAAUUUUUUUAUGCAAAUGAUCAUUGUGGUUUUCAAAACUUGCACAGAUAGCCCUUUUUACUAACUUCGUUAGUAUUCGGCCAUUAGGCCAUAUUAUGUGUUGGACAUGUGAAGUAUUUUGGUCUUUACAGGUAUAAAAGUGACUAAAUAUGUGAUAUUUGUAAACCAUAAGGACCAUUUUUGUAAUUUGUCUUAAACUAAAAAAAUUGUAAGAAAAUGAGGGAGUAGGAUUCGGAUGUGGGGACCUCCGCCCCUUACUACUCAAAGCCUUAUGCCAUUAAGGUGUUGUUUGUUUUUUCGAAGCGAAAAUGCAUAAAAUCUGCGGACCACCUCUGCAACCCUUUGUAACAGAAGAAGGAGACCAAACGAUUACAUCAUAUAAUAAUAAUUAUGUUUGUUUUUUAACCUCUGCAAACUGCUACAAUAAAAUGUUUGUUUUAAAAAAAAACAUAUUCUAACCACUUAUUAUUACGCCACGCAGCACACGUACAACACUUGGUCAUUCGCAUUUGUUUAUUUUUUAGAAGACUUCUGAUUUAAAAACUGUUGCGUGUGUGCUGCGUGGUGCAACACUUGACCCCCUGCUUCAAACCUCUUCACAUCUUACUUUAAUUUAUUGUAGCAGUCUGCAGAGGUUAAAAAACAAACAAACUGUUUUAUUACAUGCUGCAGUCGUUUGGUACUCUCUUCUGCUAUAGAGGAUUGCAGAGCUGGUACGCAAACUUCAGACAUUUUCGUUUCGAAAAAACAAAUGACACCUAAGUUAAAGUAAGGUGUGAAGAGGUUUGAAGUAGAAGGUUCAGUGCCGCGCCACGCAGCACACGCGCAACAAUUUUUAAGUCAGAAGUCUUCUAAAAAACAAACAGUUGCGAAUAGCCAAUUGUUGUGCGGCGCAACAAUAAGUGGUGAAAAGUGGUUUUUUAGAAAAAAAAAAAAACAAACAGCGCCUAAGCUUCAGUCAAACUUGGUUUAUAAUUCCGAAAACAAAACUAUACUACAUAAAAUCGCAAAAAAAGAUAAAUAAAUAAAAAAUUACAAUUUUUUCUACAUAAAACUUUUUCUUAAUAAAACAAAAUAUACUUUUACGUAUUGUAAAAAAAAUGAAUUUUUACAAUUAGUUUUUAUGUUUAUUUUUGCGUAUUUAUUUUUACGUAAAAUAAUUUUUAUGCAUUUAAAAAAUAUGUUUUCGUAUAAUAUGUUUUUAUAUUCUUAAAAUAUAUAAUUUUAAUGUUAUGUUAACGUCUUUAGUUUGUUUAAAACAAAACUGCAAGUAUAUCUUUUUUACGUAAAAACGUUAACAACGUGAUAACAUAACGUAAAAAUAUGCUUUAGGGUCAAAACAAAACGAUAUAUAUUUUUUUACGUAAAACAAAUAAAGACAUUAACAUAAUGUAAAAAUGUGUUUUUACACACAAAAAAAAAAAUAGACUUGCAUUUACGCUUUAAAUCAACUAAAAACGUUAAAAUAAUGUAAAAGUAUAUCUUAGAAUUAUAAUAACGUAAUUACGUAUUAUACAAAAAUAUUUUUUUUAAAUACAUAAAAAACAUAAUUUACAUAAAAUAAAUAUAUAUAUUUUUUUACUGUUUUUUUUAGGAUUAUGUUUUUUUAUAAUAUGUUCUUAUGUUUUUUUUUAUGUAUUUAAAAGUAGAUUUUUGGAUUAUAACAAUGUAAUAAUAUAUUAUACGAAACCUAUUUUUUAAAUAUAUAAAAAAAAAUACAUAAAAUAAAUACGUAAAAAAACAUUUUUUUUUACGUGAAAAAAAAACCAAUAAAUAAAGAAAAAACUUAUUUUUUAUAAAAACGUAAAAAUAUGUUUUAAGAUCAUAGCAAUGUAAUAUCAUAUUAUACGAAAAUGUAUUUUUUUUAAAUACAUAAAAAAUUACGUAAAACAAAUACGUAAUAGAAAAACAAAUAAAUUGUUUGUAAAUUUUGUUUUACAAUACGCUAAAAAUAUAUUUUGUUUUAUUAAUUUUUUUUGUAAAAGUAUGUUUUUUUUAUUAUUAAUGUAUUUACGAUUUUAGAUAAUAUUAAAUAGUUGUCCGAAAUAUAACAUAAGUUUAGCUCUAGCCUAGUUGACUAGAGCUUUGGCUAGUAGAGGGGGAUGAGGUUCUAAGUUCAAAUCAUCAUCUCCUCCUUUUCUAGCAUUUAUAUUAUUUUAAAACAGGUUAUAAAAAUGGUACCUGCGAUUUAUCAAAUGUCACGAAUUCAGUCCAUUUAUACUUUAAAAAGGCAAAAAUGCUCUUAUGAAUUUAGUUCCUAACGGCUGAAAAUUGACAACGUUAGUAGAAAUGAUCAUUCAUGCAACGAAUUCCAUUUAUACUUUAAAAAGGCAAAAAUGCUCUUAUGAAUUUAAUUCCUAACAGUAGAAAUGAUCAUUCAUGCAACUUUUGUAAACCACAGGAACCACUUGCGUAAAAAAAGAUUAAAAGAGACUAAGUUUGUGAUAUUUGGUAAAUCACAUCAUCAUAUUUGUAGUUUUGUCUAGUUAUUAUUAAAAAUGGAAUCUUCAAUUUUGUCUAGUUAUUAUUAAAAAUAGAAUCUUUAAAAUCUUAGUAAAUAAACAUUUACUAUCAUUAGAAUAUAGACUAAAUUAAACAAAUAGUCCCUAUGGUUUGUGGUAAUUUAUGUGUUUGAUUCGUAACUUAUUUUUUUAACUUGGAAAGUCCCAAUUGUUUGUUUUUGUUACGUCAUUGGUCCCUACUGUUUGUUUUUGUUAUGUGCUUAGUCCCUAUCUUACCUAAAAAGACUAUUAUUUAAAUAAAAAAAAUGGUGGGGUGGGUAAAUGAUGAGAUUUGCAAUCGAGUUUAAAAUCAACUCAAUUAAGAAUUCAGAAAGAAGAAAAACGAUGAACAAGAGAGUAAAUAUAAUAUUUGUUCAGCUCAUAUUAUGCUUUCAAUUUUACAGAGUACAAAGGAAUUCUCUGUAAAAAAUGUGUAAAAAGUUAUGUUCUCACUCAAUACAAACUCCUAUUUAUAGGCGUACAAAAGCAUAACAAAAUACUAAGGACUAGACAUUAAGACUAUUCAUUAAAAUGCCUUAGUAAAAAUAACAUUACAUCCGAAGACCCUUCUUACGAAGACUAAAGAUCCUUCGUAACAACAUAACUAACACUUCGACUUAUUACAACAUUUAUACCCUAACAAUCUCCCCCUUUGGAAUAAAGGUCGAAGUCUUCAUGAAGUUAGUAGUUGAACGGCAUACAUCAACACUCUUCGGAUUUCCAUGUACCAAGAGAUAACUUUCUUUAUCUCCUUCUUAUCUCCUUCUGAAUUCUUCUUACAAUGAUUCAUACGAACAAUUAAGUUCGUAUAUAUAUUGAGAAUUCGUAUAUCUCUCCACUUCAGAAGUUUGAAACAAGAAUCUUUUAGCUCUUCCAGCUUUAUCUUUUCCUGCAAAGACAAUCCCCAAUGGCUUUAAACAUAUUUCACCGUCUUCGUACUUUUUCAACUCAACCUGCUUCUUCGUAGGAGCCAUUGGUGCUGUAAUGUCGAUGCCUUUAAUAGUAGCAAGCUCGACAUCAGUUUGAGCUAAGCAUUCGAAAUAAUUCUCCAAGAAAAAUUUUAUGUGCCUACACCCAAGACUGAAGACAUCUGGUUCUGUUUCUUGGAGGAAAGAGAAGGACUUGUCUUUAAGUAUCAGAGCAACAUUGAUGAGAUCAUAAGUGUUCAUCAAUGGAAAGUCUGCCACAGUGAACUCUUGUAUCUUUCCACUUGCUCUUGUCACAACAUAUUUCAAAUUCUGAAACUUCCCUUCGAAAAUAACAUCCCUUUUUAUGGAUAUCACCUUCUUAAUCUUCUCCAAGAACCAAACUUCUUCUUGAGCCUUUGCUAACACAGCAUGAAAUCGUAUCUUCAUCUUCUUUCCCUCUUCGACAUCCAUAGACUUUGUCUCUGCUUUAAACUGUGGCAUGACGAACAUCAUCUCGUUGAUCGGAAAGUCAAGUUGACCAUAAUCAGUAUUUGUCACCACAAAACUCUUCUUCGGAAUCUUUUCAAAUGAGUACAUAUGAUCGAACAUCACCCUUGAUUCAAUAGUUUCGUAAUUGAACAAUUUCGAAGGAUCUCCCUUAUCAACAUUCGAACCUUCAAGAGCUCUCUGACGCAUUAUACUUUCAACAUGCCUCAUUCUUUCAACUUCAGCUGCCACCUCAGCUUUCAUCUCUUUGUUAGUCU